rnacentral:rRNA from 1 species
CCUAGCCGUAAACAAUUAAUUUACACCAAUAAGCGCCAGGGAAUUACGAGCAAUGCUUAAAACCCAAAGGAUUUGACGGUGUCCCACCCCACUAGAGGAGCCUGUUCUAUAAUCGAUGAUCCCCGAUAUACCCGACCAUUUCUCGCUUAUCAGUCUGUAUACCUCCGUCGAAAGCUUACCAUGUGAACGCCUGCAGUAGGCUUAAUGACCUAACACGUCAGUACGUCAGGUCAAGGUGCAGCUUAAGAAAUGGGAAGUAAUGGGCUACAAUUUCUAACUUAGAACAAACGAAAGACUGUAUGAAAUUACAAUCAUGAAGGUGGAUUUAGUAGUAAAAAGAAAGUAGAGUGUUCUUUUUAACCCGGCUCUGGGACGCGUAC